GGACUGAGACUUGGAAAAGGAUGCAGGGAGAGCAUUCUUGGUAGAGCAAUAAGGAGGCUAAGAGGAGCUGAGCCAGGCAGCCGGUAGAGCAGGCAGAUGGAACAAGAGAGACAGAGAACAGAGCCACCGAGUGGGCACGCAGAGAGGCCUGGCAGCCAAGCCCUGUGGAUUUCCGAGAGAAGCAGAUGCUUCCAUGGGAGCAGCAGCUGGUGGUCCCUGAGCAUGUGCCUCCUUGUUGACUCUAGGCCCAGUGCAGCCUCCUGGGCAGCCAGCCUUAGCCUAGAGGUGCAGUCUGGGUCUAGAGAGGCAGAUGCGAGGCAGCCUUGCCCCUCUCAGGGGCUCCAUCUCUCCUCCGCCAUCCUCUCUUAGGCCCCCACCCACCCAUUCCAUCUUCAUCC
rnacentral:lncRNA from 1 species